AUUGAACGCUGGCGGCAGGCCUAACACAUGCAAGUCGAGCGGAUGAAGGGAGCUUGCUCCUGGAUUCAGCGGCGCACGGGUGAGUAAUGCCUAGGAAUCUGCUUGGUAGUGGGGGAUAACGUCCGGAAACGGGCGCUAAUACCGCAUACGUCCUGAGGGAGAAAGUGGGGGAUCUUCGGACCUCACGCUAUCAGAUGAGCCUAGGUCGGAUUAGCUAGUUGGUGGGGUAAAGGGCUACCAAGCCGACGAUCCGUAACUGGUCUGAGAGGAUGAUCACUCACACUAGAACUAGGACAGGGUCCAGACUACUACGGGAGGCAGCAGUGGGGAAUAUUGGGCAAUGGGGGAAAGCCUGAUACAGCCAGACCACGUGUGUGAAAAAGGUCUUCGGAUUGUAAAGCACUUUAAGUUGGGAGGAAGGGCAGUAGGUUAAUACCUUGCUGUUUUGACGUUACCAACAGAAUAAGCACCGGCUAACUUCGUG
rnacentral:rRNA from 1 species